rnacentral:lncRNA from 1 species
CAGUAAUCAGGGAUGUUUCUAAUGGAAUGCUACAGUAAUCAGAGAUGUUUCUAAUGGAAUGCUACAGUAAUCAGGGAUGUUUCUAAUGGAAUGUUACAGUAAUCAGGGAUGUUUCUAAUGGAAUGCUACAGUAAUCAGAGAUGUUUCUAAUGGAAUGUUACAGUAAACAGGGAUGUUUCUAAUGGAAUGCUACAGUAAUCAGAGAUGUUUCUAAUGGAAUGCCAAAGUAAUCAGGGAUGUAUCUAAUGGAAUGUUACAGUAAACAGAUGUUUCUAAUGGAAUGUUACAGUAAACAGAUAUGUUUCUAAUGGAAUGUUACAGUAAACAGGGAUGUUUCUAAUGGAAUGCUACAGUGAACAGAGAUGUUUUUUAAUGGAGUGGUAAAGUAAACAGGGAUGUUUCUAAUGGAAUGCUACAGUAAACAGAGAUGUUUAUAUUGGAAUGCCACAGUACACAGGGAUGUUUCUAAUGGAAUGCUACAGUAAUCAGGGAUGUUCCUAAUGAAAUGGUACAGUAAACAGGGAUGUUUCUAAUGGAAUGCCGUAAACAGGCAUGUUUCUGAAAGUAGGGUAGCUAAGCAUGUACUGUUUACUGGACCCCUAAUAUAAACGAAUGCACUGGUUCCCAAACUGUUGUAUGUGUUCUGGGGUUUCCAAGCCAUUCAAAGAUGCUCCCAAACUUCUUCCUCAUGUCGACUUGUGUUUGGACUUAUUUCAGAUCAACAUGUACGUGUGUGUGUCUGUGUGUGUGUCUGUUCGUGCGUGUCUGUUCGUGCGUGUCUGUUCGUGCGUGUCUGUUCGUGCGUGUCUGUGUGUGCAUGUCUGUCUGUCUGUCUGUCUGUCUGUCUGUCUGUCUGUCUGUCUGUCUGUUCGUGCGUGUCUGUUCGUGCGUGUCUGUUCGUGCGUGUCUGUGUGUGCAUGUCUGUCUGUCUGUCUGUCUGUCUGUCUGUCUGUCUGUCUGUCUGUCUGUCUGUCUGUCUGUCUGUCUGUCUGUCUGUCUGUCUGUCUGUCUGUCUGUGCAUUGUGUGUGUGCGUGUCUGUCUGUAGAUAUGUGUGUAUCUGUUUGUGUGUCUCCGUGUAUGUGUGCGUGUCUGUCUGUGUGUCUGUGUGUCUGUCUGUCUGUCUGUCUCUGUGUGUGUGUUUGCGAGCCCUGUUAUCAGUAUAAGUUUCUGGUUUCAAAGUCCAUUCUUCUACCUGGGUGUGUUGGAUGAGAGAGAUUGUUUAUGUGCUUAUGCAUGUGUGCAUGUGUGCGUGGGUAUGUGUGUCUGUGCAUUGUGUGUGUGCGUGUCUGUCUGUCUGUCUGUCUGUCUGUCUGUCUGUCUGUCUGUCUGUCUGUCUGUCUGUCUGUCUGUCUGUCUGUCUGUCUGUCUGUCUGUCUGUCUGUCUGUCUGUCUGUCUGUCUGUCAAGUAACUACUGGCUAUUAGAGACAUAUGUAUUCUCUCUAAUGGACUGUGUGUGUGUGUGUGUGUGUGUGUGUGUGUGUGUGUGUGUGUGUGUGUGUGUGUGUGUGUGUGUGUGUGUGUGUGUGUGUGUUUGUUGUGUGCGUGUGUGUGUGUGCGUGUCUGUGUGUAUGUGUUGAGUAACUACUGGCUGGUAGAGACAGAUGUACUCUCUCUAAUGGACUGUGAGGUAAACACUGAAAUACCGCCUAGAUUGCACCCUAUUCC